rnacentral:rRNA from 1 species
AUAACUUCGGGAAACCGAAGCUAAUACCGGAUAGGAUCUUCUCCUUCAUGGGAGAUGAUUGAAAGAUGGUUUCGGCUAUCACUUACAGAUGGGCCCGCGGUGCAUUAGCUAGUUGGUGAGGUAACGGCUCACCAAGGCAACGAUGCAUAGCCGACCUGAGAGGGUGAUCGGCCACACUGGGACUGAGACACGGCCCAGACUCCUACGGGAGGCAGCAGUAGGGAAUCUUCCGCAAUGGACGAAAGUCUGACGGAGCAACGCCGCGUGAGUGAUGAAGGCUUUCGGGUCGUAAAACUCUGUUGUUAGGGAAGAACAAGUACAGAGUAACUGCUCGUACUUGACGGUACCUAACCAGAAAGCCACGGCUAACUACGUGCCAGCAGCCGCGGUAAUACGUAGGUGGCAAGCGUUAUCCGGAAUUAUUGGGCGUAAAGCGCGCGCAGGCGGUUUCUUAAGUCUGAUGUGAAAGCCCACGGCUCAACCGUGGAGGGUCAUUGGAAACUGGGGAACUUGAGUGCAGAAGAGAAAAGCGGAAUUCCACGUGUAGCGGUGAAAUGCGUAGAGAUGUGGAGGAACACCAGUGGCGAAGGCGGCUUUUUGGUCUGUA